UACAGAGGUCUCAAGCGUUGUUCGGAUUCAUUGGGCGUAAAGGGUGCGUCGGCGGCGUGGUAAGCCGGGUGUGAAAUCUCGGAGCUUAACUCCGAAACUGCAUUCGAUACUGCCGUGCUUGAGGACUUGAGAGGAGACUGGAAUUUACGGUGUAGCGGUGAAAUGCGUAGAUAUCGUAAGGAAGACCAGUGGCGAAGGCGGGUCUCUGGACAGUUCCUGACGCUGAGGCACGAAGGCCAGGGGAGCAAACGGG
rnacentral:rRNA from 1 species